GACAUAGGUGGCAAACGUUAUCCGGAAUUAUUGGGCGUAAAGGGUGCGUAGGUGGUUUAAUAAGUUACUGGUGGCAAAUCGGGGCCCAACCCCGUGGAAGUUAGUAAUACUAUUAGACUAGAGGACCGGAGAGGUUAACGGAAUGGUUCGUGUAGGGGUAAAAUCCGCAAAUAUGAAUUGGAACAUCAAACGGCGAAGGCAGCCCCCUGGGUUAACACUGACGCUCAGGCACGAAAGCGUGGGGAGCAAACAGG
rnacentral:rRNA from 1 species